UACGGGGGGGGCAAGCGUUGUUCGGAAUUACUGGGCGUAAAGGGCGCGUAGGCGGCCCUCUAAGUCGGACGUGAAAUCCCUCGGCUCAACCGGGGAACUGCGUCCGAUACUGGAGGGCUUGAAUCCGGGAGAGGGAUGUGGAAUUCCAGGUGUAGCGGUGAAAUGCGUAGAUAUCUGGAGGAACACCGGUGGCGAAGGCGGCUAUCUGGACAGAAACUGACGCUGAGGCGCGAAAGCUAGGGGAGCAAACAGG
rnacentral:rRNA from 1 species